rnacentral:rRNA from 1 species
CAGCAGCCGCGGUAAUACCGGCGGCCCGAGUGGCGGUCACUAUUAUUGGGCUUAAAGCGUCCGUAGCCGGGUUGGGAAGUCCUCCGGGAAAUCUGGCCGCUUAACGGUCAGAAUGCCGGAGGAUACUCCCAGCCUAGGGAGCGGGGGAGGCCGAGGGUAUUCCCGGAGUAGGGGUGAAAUCCUAUAAUCCCGGGAGGACCACCUGUGGCGAAGGCGCUCGGCUGGAACGCGUCCGACGGUGAGGGACGAAGGCCAGGGGAGCAAACCGGAUUAGAUACCCGGGUAGUCCUGGCUGUAAACGAUGCGGACUUUGUGUCGGACAAGCUAUGAGCUUGUCCGGUGCCGGAGGGAAACCGUUAAGUCCGCCGCCUGGGGAGUACGGCCGCAAGGCUGAAACUUAAAGGAAUUGGCGGG